AUGGAUCAGUCCAAGAAGGGGUUCUUGCCUGUAUUGCAAGGUGUGAGAUUGAGCACAGCUCAACGCCCGACCUCAGUAGAAGAAAGAGAAAAGAUGAGUGUCAUCCCCUAUGCCUCGGCCAUAGGCUCUAUUAUGUAUGCCAUGCUGUGUACCAGACCUGAUGUGAACCUUGCCAUAAGUUUAGUAGGGAGGUACCAAAGUGAUCCUGGUAUGGAACACUGGACAGCGGUCAACAAUAUCUUGAAGUACCUGAAAAGGACAAUGGUUAUGUUUCUUGUUUAUGGAGGUGCCAAAGAGCUCGUUUUAAAGGGUUACGUCGAUGCUAGCUUCAACACAGAUCUGGAUGACUCCAAGUCACAAACCGGAUACGUGUACAUUUUGAAUGGUGGGGCAGUGAGCUAG
rnacentral:rRNA from 1 species